rnacentral:rRNA from 1 species
AUUGAACGCUGGCUGCAGACCUAACACAUGCAAGUCGAGCGAUAGGCGGGCGGUUGAGUACUGUCUAGUAAACUGCCUGAUGUAGUGGGGUCACUCCUGGAAACGGUAGCUAAUACCGCCUACAAUCGGAUGUGCCCAGAUGGGAUUAGCUAGUAGGUGGAGUAACGGCUCACAUAGGCGACUAUCCCUAGCUGGUCUGAUAGGAUGACCAGUCAAACUGGAAAUGAGCUACGGUCCAGACUCCUACGUGAGGCAGCAGUGGGAUAUAUUGCACAAGGGGAGCAAGCCGGAGGCAGACAUGCCGAGUGUGUGAAGAAGGCCUUCGGGUUAUACAGCACUUUAAGCGGGGAGGCGUGACCCGCAGAAGAAGAACCGGCUAACUACGUGCCAGCAGCCGCGGUAAUUC